AUUGAACGCUGGCGGCAGGCCUAACACAUGCAAGUCGAGCGGAUGAGUGGAGCUUGCUCCAUGAUUCAGCGGCGGACGGGUGAGUAAUGCCUAGGAAUCUGCCUAUUAGUGGGGGACAACGUUUCGAAAGGAACGCUAAUACCUCAUACGUCCUACGGGAGAAAGCAGGGGACCUUCGGGCCUUGCGCUAAUAGAUGAGCCUAGGUCGGAUUAGCUAGUUGGUGAGGUAAUGGCUCACCAAGGCGACGAUCCGUAACUGGUCUGAGAGGAUGAUCAGUCACACUGGAACUGAGACGCGGUCCAGACUCCUACGGGAGGCAGCAGUGGGGAAUAUUGGACAAUGGGCGAAAGCCUGAUCCAGCCAUGCCGCGUGUGUGAAGAAGGUCUUCGGAUUGUAAAGCACUUUAAGUUGGGAGGAAGGGUUGUACGUUAAUACCGUGCAAUUUUGACGUUACCGACAGAAUAAGCACCGGCUAACUCUGUGCCAGCCGCCGCAGUAA
rnacentral:rRNA from 1 species